rnacentral:lncRNA from 1 species
GGUAAGAGCCAGUUGGGCCAUUGCCAUCUGUCGAUCUUGGAGAAUAUCCGUUUUGUCUGCCCUGACAGGACAGGACCGCUAAUGUGUACUAGGGCUGACUUGGCACGAUUCUGGUCGCUCCACAUCAGCGUCUCCCAGUACUUCUUGUUGGGUUGUCGCUAGCUGUCUCGUGGGGAUUCUGUGGCAGGGACCGACCAAUGAUUGGUGCCAUGUGGUGUCCUUUUCCUUAGUUGUCUUGUGUGUUCCCCCUGUCGUUGUCAAUGAUGCCCCACGUCAUCGCCAGCUCUGUCUUAUGGCCCCUUGAGUGCACGUCCGAGCACGCUCUUUGGGACCAUACCCCUUCAAGCGCCUAUAAGAUUGAGCUCUAACUAGAUGAAAAAUCAACUAACCCCCUAACACGACCCAAUCAUCAAAAUGAACAAGAACAAAGUUAUCAUUUAUUGCAAAUCCAUCCCAUGAACGAUAAAGAUGAACAAAAACACGUCUCCAAACACGCUGCAUGGCAACUCAACCCCAAACAUGACAGUCAUCAACAGUAGGUAAAACAGGGUACAAAAGGUUAAAAAAAAACAAAUAUAGCUAGAAAAAAAAAGUUUUACUAAACUACAGUCACUGCUCGGUAUCUCGUCUUUAUACUAUUCACCCACAUAGAGGGCCUUGCCAAAAGCUUUCACCAAAUAAAAGUUAUAGAAACAAGCCAGAAUAAACCUGAAAUUGGAAAGAAACACGUCAACAAUCAAAUUACGGUCAAAUUUAAAAAUCAAAGACUCGUGAGGUUUUCUUUAUACCUCGCAUCCAAAAAGAAAAAGUCCUGCCACCUGUCAGACUGCAUUCUUUUACUAUGAGGACGCAGCAUGAGCAGGCAUUUCAAAUACAUACCUACGUGUAAACACAAACGUUAUAAUCAGUCCCAGAAAUCCAAGAUGUAGUCUAAUGACAAACACGACCAUGAAUUGCAAAAGCAGGCAUAAAUAGACAAAAUAGUUGAUAUAUCGGUUAUCGGUCCCCAUGUAAAAUAUCGGUGUCAAAUAUCCAUGAGAAUACCGGUACCAAUAUUAUCGGUGAUAUUGACCGAUAUUUGACCGAUACUUCGUUAUUUGACCGAUAUAUCACUGAUAUUCUCACAUCCCAAUAUCAAUACCUUUCUUCUUAGUUCUACCAUUCAUAUUUCUUCUUAUUGUUGCUAUUAGUGUUUUAUGUCUUAAUUGUUAAUUGUUAGUGUUAAAUGGUGUUUUAAGUAUUAAUAAGUUCCUACUUGCUACAAUUAUUAGUGUUUUGCAAGUUGAAAAAGGUUAAUUUUUGUUAACGGUAGGGGAGUAUACUGAAUUGUUGGUGUUAAAUUGCUAUAUAUUUAAUUCUUGAAAGAUACUAAACUAAAAUUACCGAUAUCCCACCGAGAUGACCUAUAUCUCAAAUAUCGGUCCUCGACCGAUAUCCGAUAUUUUACCGCAUUAACUGCUUAGUUCAUAUGAUGUGCAGACAUACACUUUCAUGUGUACUAAAAGAAUAUAAGCUUGUAGUUAAAGAUCUCUAUGUAAGUUGUUCCUAGAACAUGAUAGAAAAUUUAUAAUAAGGUGAUUACCGUAUAUAAUUGGGGAAUACAGCAGCCGCCCAAAGUGGCCUGCACCACCACAAGUAGCACUCAGAACAAGGAACUUUUCAGUUGGAAAGUGGUCUUUCUCAGCCAAUUUCAAUAGCUUUUUGACCUAUUUCAUACUUCACUUAUCAAACUUCAUUUCAGUGUAUCUGCACAGAAAGCAAAAACAUCUAAAAUCAAUCCUUCUGU